rnacentral:rRNA from 1 species
GAUGAACGCUAGCGGCAGGCCUAAUACAUGCAAGUCGAACGGUAGAUCGGGUAGCAAUACUUGAUUGAGAGUGACGUAAGGGUGCGUAACACGUAUGCAAUCUACCCUCAACAGGAGUAUAGCUCGGGGAAACUCGGAUUAACACUCCAUAACAUUACGAUGUGGCAUCACAUUGUGAUUAAAACUCCGGUGGUUGAGGAUGAGCAUGCGUCUGAUUAGUUUUAGUGGAGGUGUAACGGACCCCCAAGACGAUGAUCAGUAGGGGAACUGAGAGGUUGAUCCCCCACACUGGCACUGAGAUACGGGCCAGACUCCUACGGGAGGCAGCAGUAGGGAAUAUUGGUCAAUGGGUGAGAGCCUGAACCAGCCAUGCCGCGUGCAGGAAGACGGCCUUCUGGGUUGUAAACUGCUUUUAUCUGGGGAUAAAAAGCCCAUGCGUGGGACAUUGAAGGUACCAGAUGAAUAAGCACCGGCUAACU